rnacentral:rRNA from 1 species
GGUUAAGUGAAUAAGGGCGCACGGUGGAUGCCUUGGCACUAGGAGCCGAUGAAGGACGGGACUAACACCGAUAUGCUUUGGGGAGCUGUAAGUAAGCUAUGAUCCAGAGAUUUCCGAAUGGGGGAACCCAAUAUCUUUUAUAGGAUAUUACUUUUCAGUGAAUACAUAGCUGAUUAGAGGUAGACGCAGAGAACUGAAACAUCUUAGUACCUGCAGGAAGAGAAAGAAAAUUCGAUUCCCUGAGUAGCGGCGAGCGAAACGGGAAGAGCCCAAACCAACAAGCUUGCUUGUUGGGGUUGUAGGACUCCGAUAUGGUAGUCUGUUAGUAUAGUUGAAGGAUUUGGAAAAUUCCGCUAAAGAGGGUGAAAGCCCCGUAGACGAAAUGCUGACAACACCUAGGAGGAUCCUGAGUACGGCGGAACACGAGAAAUUCCGUCGGAAUCCGCGGGGACCAUCCCGCAAGGCUAAAUACUCCCUAGUGACCGAUAGUGAACCAGUACCGUGAGGGAAAGGUGAAAAGCACCCCGGAAGGGGAGUGAAAUAGAUCCUGAAACCGUGUGCCUACAACAAGUCAAAGCUCGUUAAUGAGUGAUGGCGUGCCUUUUGUAGAAUGAACCGGCGAGUUACGAUUGCAUGCGAGGUUAAGUCGAAGAGACGGAGCCGCAGCGAAAGCGAGUCUGAAUAGGGCGAAUGAGUAUGUAGUCGUAGACCCGAAACCAUGUGAUCUACCCAUGUCCAGGUUGAAGGUGCGGUAAAACGCACUGGAGGACCGAACCCACGUACGUUGAAAAGUGCGGGGAUGAGGUGUGGGUAGCGGAGAAAUUCCAAACGAACUUGGAGAUAGCUGGUUCUCUCCGAAAUAGCUUUAGGGCUAGCCUCGGAAUUGAGAAUGAUGGAGGUAGAGCACUGUUUGGACUAGGGGCCCAUCUCGGGUUACCGAAUUCAGAUAAACUCCGAAUGCCAUUCAUUUAUAUCCGGGAGUCAGACUGCGAGUGAUAAGAUCCGUAGUCGAAAGGGAAACAGCCCAGACCACCAGCUAAGGUCCCAAAAUAUAUGUUAAGUGGAAAAGGAUGUGGGGUUGCACAGACAACUAGGAUGUUGGCUUAGAAGCAGCCACCAUUUAAAGAGUGCGUAAUAGCUCACUAGUCGAGUGACCCUGCGCCGAAAAUGUACCGGGGCUAAACAUAUUACCGAAGCUGUGGACUACACCAUUAGGUGUAGUGGUAGGAGAGCGUUCUAAGGGCGUUGAAGGUCGAUCGUGAGGACGGCUGGAGCGCUUAGAAGUGAGAAUGCCGGUAUGAGUAGCGAAAGACAGGUGAGAAUCCUGUCCACCGUAUGACUAAGGUUUCCUGGGGAAGGCUCGUCCGCCCAGGGUUAGUCGGGACCUAAGCCGAGGCCGAUAGGCGUAGGCGAUGGACAACAGGUUGAUAUUCCUGUACCAGUUGUUUUUGUUUGAGCAAUGGAGGGACGCAGUAGGCUAAGGAAUGCAUGCGAUUGGAAGUGCAUGUCCAAGCAAUGAGUCUUGAG